ensembl:snRNA LOC120101205 U6 spliceosomal RNA
GCUUGCUUUGGCAUCGCAGAUACUAAAGCUAAAAACAAUACAGAGAAUGUUAGGCUGGCCCCUGCACAAGAAUGACAGACAAAUUCUUCGAGCGUUUGAUAGUUUAU